rnacentral:rRNA from 1 species
GUGGGGAAUAUUGGACAAUGGGCGAAAGCCUGAUCAAGCCAUGCCGCGUGUGUGAAGAAGGUCUUCGGAUUGUAAAGCACUUUAAGUUGGGAGGAAGGGCAGUAAGUUAAUACCUUGCUGUUUUGACGUUACCGACAGAAUAAGCACCGGCUAACUUCGUGCCAGCAGCCGCGGUAAUACGAAGGGUGCAAGCGUUAAUCGGAAUUACUGGGCGUAAAGCGCGCGUAGGUGGUUUUGUAAGUUGGAGGUGAAAUCCCCGGGCUCAACCUGGGAACUGCCUCCAAAACUGCAUGACUAGAGUACGGUAGAGGGUAGUGGAAUUUCCUGUGUAGCGGUGAAAUGCGUAGAUAUAGGAAGGAACACCAGUGGCGAAGGCGACUACCUGGACUGAUACUGACACUGAGGUGCGAAAGCGUGGGGAGCAAACAGGAUUAGAUACCCGGGUAGUCC